ACGGGAGGCAGCAGUGGGGGAUAUUGCACAAUGGGGGAAACCCUGAUGCAGCGACGCCGCGUGAGUGAAGAAGUAUUUCGGUAUGUAAAGCUCUAUCAGCAGGGAAGAAAAUGACGGUACCUGACUAAGAAGCACCGGCUAACUACGUGCCAGCAGCCGCGGUAAUACGUAGGGUGCAAGCGUUGUCCGGAAUUACUGGGUGUAAAGGGAGCGCAGGCGGUUAGCAAGUUGGAUGUCAAAUUUAUGGGCUCAACCCAUAACAGCAUUCAAAACUGUUAGACUUGAGUGAAGUAGAGGUAAGUGGAAUUUCCAGUGUAGCGGUGGAAUGCGUAGAUAUUGGAAGGAACAUCAGUGGCGAAGGCGACUUACUGGGCUUUAACUGACGCUGAGGCUCGAAAGCGUGGGUAGCAAACAGGAUUAGAUACCCUGGUA
rnacentral:rRNA from 1 species